UUACGGCUAUAUCAUGUUGAAAUAGCAGUUCCCGUAUGAUCACCGAAGUUAAGCAAAUUCGAGCCAUGUCAGUACUUAGAUGUUUGAUGGGUUAGGAAAACCAGUGGCUGCAA